UUUUCCGGUCGACGCCACCGCGCGAGCCGGCGUCAUCCGCCCGUCUAUCAUCGGUAAAUGAUCCAUGCAUCAUCGACGCGUCCACGCUCCGGUCGUGCCUCGACGAAGGAGUGUAGCUCCACGUAUGUAGAUUGCCGUUGCCGUCGACGUUCAGUUCGAUGGAGUGCAUGUCACUCCCUUCCGAGUCGCAAUCCUCACUGAAUCCUCCAUCACCAGCACUGUCUGGAGCUGGAACAGAGCCAGACGCAUGGGUUGAUGGCGUCUGAUCGGUUUU
rnacentral:lncRNA from 1 species